GAUUCAGCGGCGGACGGGUGAGUAAUGCCUAGGAAUCUGCCUGAUAGUGGGGGACAACGUUUCGAAAGGAACGCUAAUACCGCAUACGUCCUACGGGAGAAAGCAGGGGACCUUCGGGCCUUGCGCUAUCAGAUGAGCCUAGGUCGGAUUAGCUAGUUGGUGAGGUAACGGCUCACCAAGGCGACGAUCCGUAACUGGUCUGAGAGGAUGAUCAGUCACACUGGAACUGAGACACGGUCCAGACUCCUACGGGAGGCAGCAGUGGGGAAUAUUGGACAAUGGGCGAAAGCCUGAUCCAGCCAUGCCGCGUGUGUGAAGAAGGUCUUCGGAUUGUAAAGCACUUUAAGUUGGGAGGAAGGGCAUUAACCUAAUACGUUAGUGUUUUGACGUUACCGACAGAAUAAGCACCGGCUAACUUCGUGCCAGCAGCCGCGGUAAUACGAAGGGUGCAAGCGUUAAUCGGAAUUACUGGGCGUAAAGCGCGCGUAGGUGGUUUGUUAAGUUGAAUGUGAAAGCCCCGGGCUCAACCUGGGAACUGCAUCCAAAACUGGCAAGCUAGAGUAUGGCAGAGGGUGGUGGAAUUUCCUGUGUAGCGGUGAAAUGCGUAGAUAUAGGAAGGAACACCAGUGGCGAAGGCGACCACCUGGGCUAAUACUGACACUGAGGUGCGAAAGCGUGGGGAGCAAACAGGAUUAGAUACCCUGGUAGUCCACGCCGUAAACGAUGUCGACUAGCCGUUGGGAUCCUUGAGAUCUUAGUGGCGCAGCUAACGCAUUAAGUCGACCGCCUGGGGAGUACGGCCGCAAGGUUAAAACUCAAAUGAAUUGACGGGGGCCCGCACAAGCGGUGG
rnacentral:rRNA from 1 species